UAAAUUUGAAUAAAUAUUUAAUAAUCAUUUCUUUUUCCAAAUUUAAAUAAAUAACCUUCUUUUUUUCUAAAUUUGAAAUAAUGACCCCUUUUUUUUGUGUGCUGGUGGUGUUACCACAGGUUUGUGUAUGCGUCUAGUGUGGUUGGGAGUCAAAGACUCUUACACUGCCACUGGAUAGCUUAUAUUCAUAGGUGAAAAGAAAGCUGAGUGCGUAAGUCUUUCCUUCUAGUACAUAGCCUCUACACUAACAAGACUUCUACAGUGCCUCCCCGUGACAGCACACGGUAACUAGGAUCUAGUGUCCUAGGCUUGACUGUAGAGGAUCUCGGAGUAGCAAGGACCCUAGAGAUGAAGUGUGUAGGCCGAUCGACAUGCGGACAUCACUAGCACUCAUCAACCUUGCCCCAGUUAUGGGUUAAAUAGCCAGCUGAAUGAUGGUCAUCAACCUUGAAAGGAUGUCUAGGAGAAGAAAACUCUUGAUAUGAAAUUUUUGGUCGUAUGACUCGUCAGCCUUGGUCUUCAAUUGAUUUAAAGGAAACAAAGCUUGAGUAAAGAUUCUCUGGUUCUCCAGGUUUGGGAUUGAGAAAUAUGUCAACAACCUAUCCUUGUAAAAAGGAAGAAUGAUUAUAUACUGAUUAAUCUCCCAGAUGAGGAACAUCACAACUGCAUGCGGUCUGCAUGAACCUUUGACAUUCAAAAGACAAGUUAUCCUGGAUAUUUUAAAAACACGUAAAUGAUUUACUGAAGGAAAAUUGAUGGAAAGUAGGACCUGGAUGUAAAAUAAUACCAACUUAAGACAAAGCGUGCUUGUUAAUUUAAAAAUCAUCUGAAGCAGAAGAAGAAUGGAUUCUGUUGAUCUGAGGAACUUGGAAACACUAAUUGACAAACAAAUAUGUAGUAUAAUACAACUAUGUUUAAAGAGAGAGAUAGAAAGAGGGUGAGAGCCAGUUGUAAAGAUUUAUUCUUUUAAACCAGAUAUGUUGAUUACAAUCGAAUUUCAUAGGCCUACAGUUCCCCCCUAUAUGGUCUUAGUUAAUACAUGUACUAGGUGUUUAAUGUAAGACUUUGAUGUGACGUUUGAGAACUAUCAGCUACCAUUGGUUUAAAUCUAUUUUUAUGUCCUUUCAGUUGGGGGGGGGGGGGGUAUUGUUUUACUCCUGUCCUUACCCUCUACCAUCCUUUUAUAGGUAUAUAGAUAUAAGAAGAUGUGAAAUUGGUGACAAUGAGACAACUCUCAUCCAAUUUACAUGUAGUAUAAAUAACUACUCCUAGAGUUUAAUGAGUUAUCUCCCAUAUUUGUAGGUACUUUUGAUAUUUUGAUAGUUCAUGAUAAGGCUAAUGCAAAUAGAAGAUUUAACUUGUUUUUGAAUUUAACAAACUGAGCAUAAGUUGUGAGGAAUGGAAACUAGCAGGCCGAGUUUUAGGGUUAAGGGGAGGGAAUACACUUGUGUAUCUCUUCACAUGAGCUAGUUUUGUUCACUGCAUGGAAGGCCUGCAAUAAAUUAGAAUGUAUUAGUUUUAUAUAUAAUUGUUAUAUAUUUGUUGUUAGAUAUGCUAUAUAAGAUGUAAAUAAAGUAAGAUGACAGUAUUGUAGUUCUGUAAAAAAAAUUGGCUUGUAAACAGGUCUAGAUAAUGCAUUAAGUGGUUUGGUCUGACAUUGGGAUUCAAACUAUAUUUACGUCGUUAUCAUCUACAAAAGUGCUUCCAUUCUCAAUAUUAUCUAAUAUUAAACACCCCUUCCUCCCAAUUAUGACUUCAUUUUAAGUUUAAUUAGUUAUCUCCCAUAUUUGUAGG